UUGGCUCAGGAUGAACGCUGGCGGCGUGUCUUAUACAUGCAAGUCGAGCGAGGCAGCAAUGCCGAGCGGCGAACGGGUGAGUAACGCGUAAGCAAUCUGCCCCAUAUCAGGAAAUACCCGUGCCAACGCGCGGUUAAUGUCCAGGAGAGUGGCCCCCUGCAUGGGGGGUUGACUAGAGAUUUAUCGGUAUGGGAUGAGCUUGCGUCCGAUUAGCUAGUUGGCGGGGCAACGGCCCACCAAGGCGACGAUCGGUAGCCGGCCUGAGAGGGUGAUCGGCCACAUUGGGACUGAGAUACGGCCCAGACUCCUACGGGAGGCAGCAGUGGGGAAUA
rnacentral:rRNA from 1 species